rnacentral:rRNA from 1 species
UACGUAGGGGGCAAGCGUUGUCCGGAUUUAUUGGGCGUAAAGAGCGUGUAGGCGGUUUGGUAGGUCCGUUGUGAAAACUCGAGGCUCAACCUCGAGACGCCGGCGGAAACCAUCAGGCUAGAGUCCGGAAGAGGAGAGUGGAAUUCCUGGUGUAGCGGUGAAAUGCGCAGAUAUCAGGAGGAACACCAGAGGCGAAGGCGGCGACCUGGACAAUUACUGACACUCAACUGCGAAAGCGUGGGGAGCAAACAGG